AGUGUAGCUUCGUGGUAGAGCACACACUUAGCAUGUGCAAGGUCCUGGGUUUGAUUCCCAGCACU
rnacentral:tRNA from 1 species